rnacentral:lncRNA from 1 species
GGCGAUUCCCUUUGGGGAUUAGCGGGCCGUCAGACGUGACGGCUGGACGGUUCCUCUAUCCGCUGUUGGGAGGAACGUGUCCCCACUUUGGCGGGUGUGGGACACCACUCCAUCCGCUGUUGGGAGUGCGAUAUGAGUUUGCCUCCAUCCGCUGUUGGGAGAACACAAACUCAUCCCAUAGGAUAAAGCCUCUCCAUCCGCUGUUG